UCUGGGUAUAACCACUGGUUGGCCUCUGCUGCAGGAUCACAGUCCUGGGGAGUGUCUGACAAGAAGGCCUUUGAUACCACACUGGAGUAAACUGUUCAAGAACUGUUUAUCUCCAUGAAUACAUGACCUCCAGGAUGCCACCAAGGUCAACAAGACCUACAGGAGGGGGAUAUGCUGAGUUGCAAACGUAUGGUCGUGGAAGACUAAAAAAGACAAACCAUUAGCCAAAGCACCGUUUAUUCCCAACCUGCAAGGUUCUGGCUGGUAGCAGUCUUCGAGUGACUUUGAUCUUCCUUCCUCUUUUACUAAGGAGGCCCCAGAAAGUAAGUUGGCUUCUUUAAGGUUUUCCUCAACUGCCCUUAGCAGAGUGAGCCCAGGACCAACUGCCCAGGGAGAAUAGUCAGACUUGGAUCUCAGAGGAUGCUUGGAUCUGUGGGGGAAAGCUGCUGUCCAACCAGAACAUCUGGAUCAUUUGGAUCAUUAAAUGGGCAACAAAUAACUGAAAAUAUGUGUGUGUGUGCACGCACACUCAUGCAUGUGUGAAAGUGUGUGUUUGGUAUAGAAUCAAACUUUCCUUGUGGAUUAGUUGGAAAAAUAAAUGACCAUAUUUGAAACCCAAAUCUGUGGAGUUGCUCAAACUUGUAACAAUAAAUUCUUUGUAAAGUGA